AGUGAACGCUGGCGGUAGGCCUAACACAUGCAAGUCGAACGGCAGCACAGUAGGAGCUUGCUCUUACGGGUGGCGAGUGGCGGACGGGUGAGGAAUACAUCGGAAUCUACUUUUUCGUGGGGGAUAACGUAGGGAAACUUACGCUAAUACCGCAUACGACCUACGGGUGAAAGCAGGGGAUCUUCGGACCUUGCGCGAUUGAAUGAGCCGAUGUCGGAUUAGCUAGUUGGCGGGGUAAAGGCCCACCAAGGCGACGAUCCGUAGCUGGUCUGAGAGGAUGAUCAGCCACACUGGAACUGAGACACGGUCCAGACUCCUACGGGAGGCAGCAGUGGGGAAUAUUGGACAAUGGGCGCAAGCCUGAUCCAGCCAUACCGCGUGGGUGAAGAAGGCCUUCGGGUUGUAAAGCCCCUUUGUUGGGAAAGAAAAGCAGCAGGUUAAUACCCCGCUGUUCUGACGGUACCCAAAGAAUAAGCACCGGCUAACUUCGUG
rnacentral:rRNA from 1 species